AUAAACGCUGGCGGCGUGCCUAAUGCAUGCAAGUCGAACGGGAUCGCUUUCGGGCGACGACCGUGGCGGACGGGUGAGGAGCACGUAGCUGACCUGCCCUGGUGUGGGGGAUAUCCUUCGGAAACGGAGUGUAAUACCGCAUACGCUCAAUUGAGGGGACUUGAUUGAGGAAAGCCGAGAGGCGUACCAGGAGGGGGCUGCGUCCGAUUAGCUAGUUGGUGGGGUAACGGCUUACCAAGGCGAUGAUCGGUAGCUGGUCUGAGAGGACGAUCAGCCACACGGGGACUGGGACACGGCCCCGACUCCUACGGGAGGCAGCAGCAAGGAAUUUUCCACAAUGGGCGCAAGCCUGAUGGAGCAACGCCGCGUGGGGGAUGACGCACUUCGGUGUGUAAACCUCUUUUCGAGGGGACGAAGGCAAUGACGGUACCCUCGGAAUAAGGAUCGGCUAACUACGU
rnacentral:rRNA from 1 species